GAUAACGGCGCAGCGGCGCGCAGGCGCGUGGGGGGGUCGGUCACGCGCCAGUCACGCUGCUACACUACGCAGUACGCAGUGCCAGCAGUCGGUCGGUUAGGGAGCAUGGCGGAAGGUCGCGGUACGUCGCAGCGCAUUUCAACUCGUAUCCUCGUCAUCCCGUACGAGUGUUUGAUGCGAGCGAGUGUUUCGAGAGUGUCGUGGACUGCCGAAAGUGAAGUGUUGGCCGUCGUACCGACAUCCGUCGUGUCGAAGUCGUGUCGCGUUCAAUCGUGUUUCGCAGCUUCUCCGUUGCCUCUUAUUCCGAGUUUCCAACACGCUUGAGCACCAGGGGGGUUUCGAGAGUUCCGAAAACGAAGGUUCGCGCGUUCGUGCGAAGACGAAUGAAUCGAGACGAAUCGUCGUGAGGAGAAUCUUGGAUCCUUCGUGUCGCUCAAACGACAAUGAUUGGUUGGGAUGGCACGACGUCGCGUUGCGCGUUUAAUCGCGUCUUCUCCGUUGCCUCAUAUCCCGUGCCUCGAGUUUUUGACGGGCGUGAAUACCGGGGGUGCCGAAAACGAACCAAGUGUCGCGCGUUUGUGCCAAGUAUGAAUCGAGAGGAAGAGGAUCUUGGAUCUUCGAAAGCGGCGGCUGAGACUACGAGACGGAACUGAGAUAUUCCAUCACCACGCAGUACGGUUCCUCGCGGUAACAGGCGCCCAGGACCCGAGCGAUAUUGCGAUCUUCCAGAGCAGCUAGAAUUCUCACGUCCCUUUGGAAGUCCAACCUGUGCGCAAGAGCAACCCCGAUGCAGCGAUUAACGUAGCUGUGUUUCAACUCCACUGCUGCGCAUCGAUCGCCAACCACGACGACAUGGUCGACGUUCAUCCCUAUCGACGCAUCCGUCGCCGCGUCGCGCAGAUGAAACCGUGAAGAGUCGAUCAACGUAGCGUUACAAUUCCGCUGCUGCGCAUCGCGUCGCGCGGGCAGUGUCUUUAUUGGAAAUCUUCAGGGGGAAAAUCGGAGUAACUCAACCGUUAACUUCCAUGUCAUAUCGACAAUCGAGACGAGAAGAACGAUUUAAAAGGAUUCUCCAUCAAGCGCGCGGGAGUUUCGUUGGCUAGUAUAACCGAGCUCGCACAUCCAUCGGCUCCCAAUAUCUCUCCCGUCCCUCCUUUCGUUUCCCUUCCUCCUUGAUUCCCUUCUUUCGCCCCCUUUCUCCUCGAUUCUUUUUCAGUCUUCUCUUCCGAUCGCAGUCAGCUCGUUGGCGGUGUUCGGUUUCUGAUUAUCGGAAAUCGAUCCCUGGCAAGCCGUUAAGGGCACGGUCGACUAAGCUGGUUGGAACUCUCUUUUACUCUUUCUCUUUCUCUUUCUCUCUGUCUUUCUCCCCUGGGCCACCAAACAUAUGAUUAGUGGAUAUACGAUAUUUUCCCCGAUAAAUCAGCGGAUCUGCCACGCGCCAGCAUCUCAAAAUUUCAACAUAAUGUAAACACUCUGUCUAAUGCAUGUUCCAUUACUCAACAAUUUUAUAUUGUUACAGAAAGUGCUUUGAUGAAAUCUUCCAAAUUAAAUGUUACGUGCAAAUUUAUAGUAGAUUUAUUAAUUUAACGCGCGAGAAAAAUAACAUAAAAUUUAUAUAAAAGUUCACGGAGACAAAGUCUUAAAAAAUUGAUUGUGAAAAAUUUAAAACGACGCUUCGGAGACGCUACUUUUACAUUUUGGCCCAACGAUUCGCUCUGCCUUGAAAUUCGUAGAUUUAUAGCAUCCUGUAAUGUUCGAAUUUACCGAAUAAAGCAACUGAGACGCACUGGACCGUGUCGUAUGUUCUUUCGUUCCCUAGUUUGAUUCUUCAAGUUUUCCCUUCCUAUUCCAUGCGAACUGUUGGCGGCUCGUUGCCGGUGUUCGGUUCCUGAUUAUCGGAAAUCGAUCCGUGGCAGGCCGUUAAGGGUACGGUCGAACAAACCGGUAGGUACAUCAAGAGGAGGGACACACGAACCGAUGCAACACCACGCUACCAUCAAUACGUGAUCGCCCGGAUGUACGGCGCGCGACACGGUCGUUCACAUUUAAAUAUCACCGUGUGACGUGACGACACGAUCUCCGAUUCUUGGUAUUAGGCCAUUGAAGUUUAGAACUAUUAAAAAUCAAAUCUAAUGGAUGAACGCGCUGAAUGGAAAAAACAAAUAGAAUUUGGUAUCCUAAACGAUAGAUUUUUUUUUUCAACGUUGGAAAAAUUUAUUAACGUAACAAUCGCUUACUUGCGAGUGUUUAAUGUAGUAUUCAUGAAACAUAUUUUAAUUUUGCAGCGGUCUUGUUACAAAGAUUUACGCACUAACAAAUAGAUCUACCAUCGACACGUGGCCAGCUUUACUAACAACCCACGGGUAGACAUAAAACAGAAGCAAAGCAUAAAAUUAGUUCGUUUACGAACUGUUGCUCGUGCGUGUUUAUUUAUCUCGGAAAUCGUAGGCGCGCUGUACGUAGCGAGAGGAGGCUAUUCUCGAGAGUAUGAGCCGAAAGGGGAAACGAAAAUUGAGCACCGCGGGCGGCCGUUGUAAAUUAAAUUUGGUUGCAAAGGAAGUCAUAACGGCCGGCACGUGCCCGUCGCUGUUGCAUGGCGUAUACGUGCGUCAUGGGAUUAUGAAAAAAUCUUCCGCGGGAGCCAGUCUUUUUUUUUCUUUCGUCAGGAAGCGUGGCACUUACGUGAUCCGAAUGCGUAAGCUUCGCGUGCAUUUAGGUAAACCCCAUGGAACCCGACAAUUAUAACUCAAUUAUAAAACCCGCACCAUUUCGUGCUUCUUUCGCAAAAUAAUACAGAAGCUCUUUCGAAAGGAAUAUCAUUCUGAAUUUAUUAAGUAUGCUCUACUCGCAACGUGGAAUUAAUAUGGAAAAAGCUUUCUUCGGUAUUCUUUAUUAUUACUUUUAAUUCCUGGGAGAUAUAAAUAGAUUAGAGACUAUCAAUCUUACAGUUUUUUUUUCUUCGUACGUAAAAUGAGCACGAAAUAUGACGACAUAUUCGUUCCUUUCAAUUACUCAUGUCAUUAAUUAAAUCCAUCUGCAUACAGUGCGCAUACGUUUAAACAUCACCCAUCCCUCGCGCUUACCGUUCUUCUUUUUUCUACGAAAGCUCAUAAUAUGAGAGUAAAUAAUAAGGGAUGCGCUCUACGCUCUCCCCAUCAGCAGUCUACACAAUUUUUCCAACGAGGGAGCGUGGUGAAAGGAACGACGUUAUGACGCGUGAUAUUUUCUCCCUUUUCAUCCAGUGCGCUGCGUCUUUCGUUGCAUUUUAAUGACGGGAUCGCGCGCGACUGACGACUUGGAGUACAGGGGUUAGUUUGGGCAAAUGGAGAGAGAAAAAACGUCGGCGAUUAACGCUUCAAGAGCGGAGAGACUCGCGCUCGCGCUCGCGUAGGAUCGAUCGCAGUCGAGCCUCGCCCUAUCAUUUGCGAUCGAUUGCAGCUGAGCAAACGAAACCUCAAAAUUAACGGCCUAUUACGAAUUUAAACGCAGUAAUUAUCUCCGCGCAAACCGCGCGGAGUACCACUAGACGUUUGUUCUCCUUUGCUCUUCUACAAUUAUGAUAAAACUGUAAUAAAACGAUUAAUUACUCCGUUUCAAAUGUGAAAACUACUUACAAUAUUUCUCUGCAUAUGUAAGUAUACAAUCCGGUACGGUAAGCCCGGUAGUGAAGUGACUCGAAUAUCAAUUACACUCUCCACGGGGUAGUACGUGGUCACCCCGUAGGUGAACCGGUUGUCGUAUUGAUCGACACAGGUGAUCGCAGAUUAGAGAACAUGAAUUAAUAACGUACUAUUAAUAACGUUGUAAUAGCGCAUAGGAAAAUAUGCCGUAUGCCUAUAAUCGUUCGCGAACGGGAAAUGGAAAUGGAAGAGGAAGGGAGUGGAAAUAUUUUUGCUAAUCUACAACAUGGAACUAAAAUUGAAACUCCCGAGUGAUUUAAGCACACGUCCCGGUCGUAAAAGUAAGGAUUUAAAUAAUUCGGCGAUUUCCAUCUGCCCCGGAGUGCAUCGCGCUCGUAAAUGUGCCGCGCCGAGGAUCUUUCGUUUGCUGACUUUUUCCGCAUUACUGAAGUACCGACCCGCCUGUUUGCAAGCGUAAGCGCGCCGAGCUUCCUGUGCGUGCGCGAUAACGCAGAAUGGGGAGGAGAUCCUUGUUCCUUCGUUUGCAUUUAUCACUCGCGUCGUACACUUGACCGAGUCGAGACACACGGCUUCCGCGCGAUGUCCCGAUCAUCGCGGAGGCGCCAGCACGCAAACGAGUCGAUAGUUCACAGACUGGUGAACGAGUAAACAAGCGGGAAGAAGACGAGGGAGAGGCGAUUUCACGAGGAAAGAGGAAUGAUUUCCUUGCAUCAUGCGAGAACGAUGCUCAUAAUGCUCGAUUUCGAAUGGCGCGUAAUGGCCGAUGGUGUUCGGUAUUUCCGCCACGGUUGCAGCACGUGGCAUCAUAUUUUUAGAACGUGCCGUACGGAGUCAAACCUAAUACUCGCAUGACGACAGGUGGAUUGUUAAACGAGGACCUUACGCGCGCGCGUGUGUAUGUGUGUCUCUCUCUUUUCUCUUACUUUUUUCUCCUUUCUCGGUGCCGCCGACGGUGACGAACGUCACCGCGCGUUGCGUGAAAAUGUCAGCACCAUGUACGAGGUAUUUAGGGACGCCAUAGGGAACCGGUUAUACACGUCUCCGCGCGUUCCACUCACUCUUCUCGGAGCGCGCGCGCGAUGAUCUGCGUCGCGGAAAAUUUAGGGGAGACUCCGACAAUUUUCGACAUCGAACGGAAACGGCGACGUGUAACAGAGCGACAAGAUUAAUUCGCGCGGGAUAUCUUUGCGUUCUAGCCAGCGCGUCGCCAAAUGCGUAACAUAUUGCUCACACGCUUCGCACAUUGCGAGAGGUUGAACGUAUCCUCCUUUUUACAUUGCAUUUCUUCCCUACGCGUGGAGCGUUUUUUUCCCGUACGCGAUUCUACGCGCGGAAAACGUCAAAGAGCCGAACGGGGGGAGAAACCUGUGUGUGUGUAUGUGUAUGCGUGUUCGCUAUUGUGAAUCAAUCAGGUAUCGUGCCGAAUCCGUAACUAAAAUCCAUAGCGUACGAACGUUACGUUAUCCUGGGAAGUCAGAACUGAUAAUAAUAGGAGGCACAUAAAUCAAAGCCCCAUUCAUGUCUUUAUUGCUCUAUUAAAUGGGACAGCUGGUGCCCGCCCGUCGCCGUGUUCCGCUCGAUUCGGGAGCUCGGUCGGAAUUUCGCGGAGGUACAUUUGUCUCGCUGCGGAUUAUCGUCGGAGCGGGGUGCGAGUGGCUGCGCGCGGUCUAUAAAGUUAUAUCAAUUCGCAUCCGGCGCCCCGCCGUAUUGAGUUAAUAUCGUUAAUUUCCGUCAACGAUUUUGCUAGGGGUAAGCGCCCGUCGCGAUGGGUAGGCCGCGCGCCGAAUGCGGGACGACCAAUCGAAGCUUGUUUGCGUACAAAUACGAACAGUUAAAUUGUUUCUCGGCUAUGCAAUUUCCAUCUAAUCUGCCGUCGGCCACUUUCAGUUUGCGCCGCGGCAUCAAUCGCACGGGCCGUGGCUUUGCAAUAAGUUGUUGUUGAUGUUGAAAUUCUAUCUCGCUUAAAAAUUAAUUAUUAUAGAUACUGUAAAUAAAGGAAAUUAAAAUGUUUUUUUUUCGAAACGCCAUCAUACGUUAUAAAACUUGAAAAAUGAGUUUGAAAAUUUGCUUCGAGAUUGAUGAGACUCGGAAGAUUGGAGUAGUCCAAGUUGGCUUAUAACGAGGCUUCAAUGAUGUUCGGGAAUCGAGUACGACACUUGCCAAGAAACGCAUUUGGCUCAUAGGAUUCAUAAUCGUAGUAUAAGCGGAGUUCGCAAAGUCGUAUCAAUUCACGUCCGGUUUGGUGGCACAUUGAGUUCAUAACAUUAAUUUCCGUUAACGGCGCAGCCAAACGGCUCUCGAACUCCAAUUCCGAGGGCCCGGCUGCUGAUGGAGAUGGAUCGAAGCCUGUUUACAUACAAAUUCACCCCGUAAAACCGCACCUGCGCGGCGCAAUUCCGGAUUGGCCCGCAGUUAAUUUCGGAGUAACAACGCGCUCGGGCUCGAGUAUCGCGCGCGUCACUUCGCUACGCGGACGUUAAUAAUGAGAGCAGAAUUCCGGCGAACUUUGGAGCCGCAGGUUCGGAGCCCCGCAGUUUACUCAGGAGCCACGAUAAUUCUGAACCGGCGAAAGCGCUGCGCGAAACUGCUGCGCGAAACUUUGUUGCCGGAGUAGAAAGCGGAAGUGGAAGGAUUAUAAUGCAACGUAUGCUGGGUCCUCGUUACACAUUUUACAAAUGUGUUUGCAUCGUUACAACUUUAAUAAUUUAGACUAUUAUUGCGUAUUAGAGAAUGCAUUUUCUCUUCUGCCAUUUUACUAAUAAUAAUGGCCACGCGACAUUGUACGUAUACAGUCCAAAUGUACUAAAAGUUUUCUCCGACGGAAUUCUCAUAUCUCAGCACUCUCGUAGAUAUGGAGUAGAGCUCCAUGCAUCAUACGGAGACAGAGGAGAAAGAGAGAGAAAUCGGGAAGGCUCGAUUAUUAAAAAUAUCGUGGUAUAUUACGAGUGGACGUCUCGUGACAAUGUUACUUAUAGAAUCGCCGACGAUAUACGAGAGAAUGCUGCUCCUCGCAGAAAUCUCGAGCAUCUGGAAUCGGGCCAACCAUUUUUAUUGUCGAGCCUUUUCAUUGGACAUUUUUCUCGAAGCGAGCGUACGCUCGUCGCGGCAACUCAUGAAUAUCCCUGUCUUUGGCAAUAAAAUUCUCGACGUUCUUUGCGACUGACAAUGUAUCUAGGACGCCCAGAUGGAGCAUUUAACGAUUGACUGUCGGUUUUACCGCAAUUACGAGCUUUUCGCGAUUAUUUUUGUCAGAUGGUCUGCCGUGCUUUUGCCGAAGACGCGACAGCUUUGCUCGUAGCUACUUGUAGCUACUUUUCAAUCGUGAGAUGCAAAACAUAUAAUUAACUUUUUACGAUUCUCUAAUAUACGAAGAAAAGUUUAUGGAAAUAUUUUCAUUAAAUCUUGAAAAUUGCUUAUCAGUAUUGUGAUAAUUUAGAUGAUAUUUAUCGCUAAGCCAAGUUUAUAAUCAAAAGAAUGUUUUCACAGUAAUUUCUGCCCAAUUUUAUAAAGAUCGUGGCGCCGUGGUGUCGCCGCAAUUUCUGUGCUAGCGUAACUGGGACAGGCCAGACUAGAUGGAAGAAGAACGCUAGAUCGAUGAAGGAGAAAUCCCAAGGAAUUUUAUCUAGGCAGAUGCGAUCGUGGAGUUGAAUUGGCCUGACUAGUAUAUAUACAAAGCUCCAAAAUCCCCCUUGAUUUUGCCGGGUUGGAAUUGACGUUAGAUACGCUUCAGGGAGCAUUAGGAGCCUCGAGGAAUUGUCGAACGAGCGUUUCUAAGCUAGACCGUCCUGAGGGUGAAACUUCAUAUCUCCUUCUGUCCUCAUUACACUUUGACGAUAGCAAUCUCCGUUAUAUUUUACGUACGUUUCUUUUCCUCGCUUCAUUAAAUUACCCGCGUUGAAAGCGUAACUCUUUCGGUACGAUUUGCCGGAAGGCAUAUAUAAUAUCUCUCUGCAAAAUCUAUAUGAAUAAUAUGAAGUUAAACGUAUUAUAUAUCUCCAAUUUAGAACGAUCAAUUAUUUUGUCCUAAAUCGCUUAAAUUCAAAAAAGUAACUUUCUUAUAAUUUUUUUAUUCAAACAAGCUAUUAAGUAGCUGUUAUAUUUGAUGGUGAAACAUUUCAUCACGCAAGUAUAUCAGAGGCUGCUAUUAAAAGCGAGGCAUGUUCGUGUAGAGCAUGAAUCAAGGGUGUACCCAACGCGAUCGUGCACGCCGCGUUUCUCGCUAUGGGAACAGAACGGAGGCAAUCGGCGCGAAAUCGAUUCGAUCACGAGCGCGGCCAGAGGUAGAGGAGGGCCCCAUCGUGAUUCGCUCGAUCUCACAUGAACCGAGUCACGGAUCCGCGUUUCGUCGUCCAACGUCGCUUCCGUGAACCGUACGAGCGGCGCUCGCCCGACGGGAGGAAGAAAGAGGACAAAAGGUGCACGCUGCGAAUUAAUAAGCCAGCUUUAAACAUAGGAGUAGCAUAUAUGCCCCCCUCGAGGUACAUCGAACGGGUCGUCAGGCCGUACAUAAUGCGGCGCAGCUGAAGCAACUACAGGGGAGAGGGAGAGGACGCUCACGUUAAAGGGGGCGUCUUUCUCUCUUAUUGUCCCAGUUUUAUAUUGCCUCGGGAGGAUAUUUGACUUUUGGGGCCGUAGGGCCCCAAAGAAAGAAGCUGCUUUAUUCUGAUCGGUCGAUGCGAGCUCACGCUCGGUCGGGUAUUCGAGGAGAGGCCUACGGUUUUCGCCUUCGCCGAAUCCAUCACCGCAGGACGUCCUAUUACCGCCCUUCCUCGCUCUCCCUACAUUUUCGCGACUCCCUGCCUCGUCUAAGUGGAUUAUCAGAGAUAUCCGUUUGAUCUCUCGACCGAAAGGACCGCGCCGGAUAAACUUUAGGAUGUCUUACGGGCUCCUGCAGGUGUAGCGGUUAAGUCCUUCCGUUUUGUACGUCUGACGGCACGGCGAGAAAUAGGACAUGAAAAGCCUCGAGGUUUCAUCCCCUAAGCGAGCAAAACAGAACGAAUCCCUUUGUCGUUGAAAGUGUAAAAAGUAGGAAGCAAUUGUUUUUUGCUUUCGUGUUGUAUUCUCGUCUUUUUCGUAAAAAUAUUCGUGCUUGUAAUAUUUAACAUUUUUGUAAUAUAUAACAUUUAACAUUUGAACUCAACAUUUAUAAAAAUCAAGUCUCUGUAUGCAAUUUUUUGCGUAAAUCUAAUUUUUAAAUUAUCGUGCAGCAUUUCUAAAUCAGCUAAUUAUAAACAUCUUUAAUAUUCUAUUAUUCUAUUCUUUUUAUUAUUGCGAUUGUAUAAGAUAAAGAGCUUCGACUAAUUGUAACGUAGCACUAAAAUAAUAAAAAUGCUAUCGAACGAGCGACACUUAAGUAUUCCUGUAACGCAUGUUUUAAUGCGUUUCGUUUCAAUGUUUACUUUCUCUUUGUCCGUACAAAAGUCCCCAAUUAAUCUGCUUUGCGACUUUGAGCACCUCGAUAUUCCGAUGAAAUAGCAAAAAGGUGAUAUGAUCUAACUUUCGUCGUUCCCCUCGAGUUAUUCGGCCUGUGAACAUAGACGACAACAACGACAACACCCAGGGCAAUGACGCCGACGACGACGCAACGUCGAAAAGGAGGAAAAGUUGGAUGGUCGGGCCCCGUCGACCGGCAACGAUGACUUCCUUCACGAGGGUUUCAAUUCAAUAGGGUCACGAUGAUCCGACAAUGGAGCCGAGUUUGGUCGGGAAGAAAGAACUUCCAGAAGAGGUUUUCUGGAGGGAUCUCUCGAGGAAAUAACGAGUCACGCUCGUACCGUGGCACGGUCUGCUACCGAAACUGGAAGGAUGGAAGUGCCCAUAAGGAACAGAAGGGAGGAAGAGAGAGAGCUAGAGAUUUCUCCCUUUCCAACGAGCGCGCGCGCGCACACGCGCGCCAAGGCGCGGGACAGUGGGCCAAGAGGAAAAACGAAAACGCAUGACGAUCUUAUUGUCGCUGGAUCCGCAGAAAAGUCGUUCCUCUCUCGCGGCACAUCCGACAAUGAGCGUCUACUCCGUAUCCUCCCCUUUUUCCACUUUUGCCUCUUCUAUUUUUCUAGCUCCUUCUGCUCUACACGCUCGCUCGCUCGCCCGUUCGUCAGGAGUCCCCCGGCGCGCAAAAAGCAGUUAAAGCGAUUAAAGUCCCCGAAAGCUCGGCGAGAGGCGAAGCGCGAUAGAAAGCCUCCCGAGUUCUUUGCCCGUCUUGCCCCCUCCCCCCUCCGCGCGGCCCUUCACAGAGCUUGGAUAUUGCGAGUCGCGGUGGAAUUGCCCCGGGCAAUUGCGCUGGAAUCUAACUUCCAUUCGGACUUAUUAUUUGAACAGGAGUAGCGCCGACGACUAGCGGCGGAGGUAGCUUCCGGUUCUCUCUUUUUCUCAUGCUCCUUUAGUCAACGUCACGUGAUGAGGCGUGAUCGAUCGAUCGUAAAACGUUUCACGAUUAGGAUUCUGGUGUCUUCGCGUUUCACAGUCUGGUGAAGCGAAAUUCGCGUCGAACGUGGCUGAGAUAGAGAUGGACUGUCGAAGACGAAGAAAUUUGAUUUAAGCUAACAGUUUUUGUAAAAUGUACUUGUGAAAUAAUUGCUUGCAUUAUUUGUUACUACUAUUUUAAUCUUGAUCAACGAGAAACGGGCAUUAUGAGUUUGUGAUACAAGCACGUGGAAGAUCAAAUGAUCUUGUUGUAUUAUAAGAUAGUAUAUAGUGUCAAAUGUCUUCUUGCAUGUCAGCUUGACAUCUAAGCCUAAGCAGGGGGGUCAAGGAUUAAAUCUCGUGUCGCGCCUCUGCAUAAAAUCUCCGAACCGGAAAAGCAAUUACUACUGAUUGACCUCCUCGUUUCAUUCUCGGUAACCGAACCGUAUAACGGGAUUAAUAAAGGCUCGACCGUCCAUCCAUAAUGCCAGAUGAGGGAAGAGCGAGGUGAGACGGGGUGCAGCGGUGGCACACGCCUCUCCUAAAAUCAACGAGACGGGAACUCGUACGGACGUUAAUUGCCUCUGCGAGAGCGCGCCGCCAAAUUAAGAUGCGUACGUAAUCGAGCACCCGGAUUGGCUAACGCGCUUCGUGCACGCUAAUUGCGCGUGAGACAAUGUUGCCGUGCUAUUCCGUGCGCGGCAACGCAUCGCGGAACUACGCUCGCUACGCGCACGGAAAUACGCGAAUUGGUAAAUAAAUUAGUGACUUAACUGAUGGCCUGUCGAAGUAUUCGAAUAGAAGCAACGCGCGAAUGGUAAUGAACGCCGGAACGAGAUGAAACGGACCAAAGCGAACGACGGCCGACUAAUUAUUUUGGUGUGUCUCGCAGAUAAAACGACGCGAGCGACGUAACGGUAAGCGCGAGUUGAGCGCGAGUGAGAAAAAACCGUCGUUUUCUUAAGUAGCGCCAUAAAAUUCUGAAACGCGAAAUCACAAGAUUACUACCUUUCGCGAUCGAACGAGCUAGUUAACUGUGACCCACGCCGAUCUAUAAUCGCCGGAUGCGACCAUUUUUUUUCCAUUAAUCGUCGCUGCUGCUUGCUCGCGCAAGGCUGUAAUUGGACCGGAUCGUAGUCACAAAGUCGAUAACCCGGCGUAAUUGAAUCCGUAAGCAGUCUGUCGAUCAGAGGCGCUCUAGUAAAACGAUUUCGCUUCGGCGAAAAGUGCGUCAAUGCGCCGGCCCUGCGCACAGAGGAAAGAUUAAAGGGUCCUAUGCGAACGCUCAACAAUUUCAUAUAAUCAUACGCAUCAGUCCCGUCACACACUUUUUUCUCUACAAAAAAUGUAUAAUGAUAGAGAGGUAAAAGAGGAUAUACUCAUCUACGCUGCUUUGCAUUAUCUUUAGUAUUAUUACUUGGCUCGUGAUUAAAUUCCGGAGUAAAUACUAUUUCUCGAUUGGUUUAAUGAACCGUUUUGCCUUCAUUCUCAUUUAGCUGUGAGUGACAACGUCGACUAACUGCGGUACACAAAUUUGACAGUUUGCUCCGAGAAGCGUUCGAAUGCCUCCAGCUAUAUGCGGGACAAGCGAAGCUAGAACGCGAUCUCAUUCGGGAUAAUUUCCGCAUAAUCGUGCGUGUACGUCACUCCGGAAAUUUCUCUCUAUACGGCGCAUAAUGCGGGGACGAAUGUAGACACAAUGCGGCUCGGCUGAGACGCGAUACGAUCUCGCGAUGUAAUAAAACUGUCCUGCAAAACGACGAUUUCACCGCGACCCUUGAGCGGAUUCUCAGGAAAAAAGGGUCUCUGUCACAUCGUCGCUUUCUCACCCGCUCUUUUGCUGUCUUCCCUUUCGACGGUGGACGCAGAAGAGGCGAAUGAAAACGUUCGCCGGGACAGAAUAAUUCAUUGUCCUACUAAAACCGGUGGCGCUUCACGCUUGUUUGGGGAACGGAUUCACCUUGUUCGAGCUACCGCGAUUCUCGAUGGGGAGAGAGAGAGAGAGAGAGAAAUUUUAGUGAUCCUGGAAAUUCUACCUCCAGAUUCAUUUUAUGUUCAAAUACAUUCCUGAAAAAGGUUAUUGCCCUAUCGAAGAGUCGCGUCAUCUCAAUACCGUCAUACAUUUAUACUAUUAUAUACUUAUGUUUCUUAUUCAUUUAAAAAAAAAAAGCUAUCAGAAUAUACAGUAAGUGAAUUUGGUAGAAGAUUAGAAGCAAAAUAAAAUGCUUUUACAUGUGCCUUUCAUAUGUGGUCUCACAUUGACACGUGUCAGAGUAUUAUUCAUCCUGCGGUCAGUUUCGGUCAUUCCGUGCCAUGCAUGAAAAACAAGCUAUCAGAUCCUACUGCUUUCGAAAGGGUCAGUUAGAGAUAAAAAAGGAAGCUAUAUAAGAACUGAGCAUAUUGAUCUAUGGGAAAAGUUGACAAUGCAUGAUGAGUGGGGUAAAAGAGAAUAUGAGAGUGAAAUGGAAUACAUAAUGAAGGGAGGCUUCUUGUCCAUGUGAUAGCAGCGUCCACCAAGAAGGUUGGUAUCCGUCUAUCUAUCCUACCUACUCCCUAUCACACAGGCACUCGGACCGUAGAGAGAGUCUUCCCUCUCACUUUGUCUAAAAUCUUCCCUUUUCGUUCAUCUGUCUACCUCUGUGCGUCCAUCCUCUCGCGUCUCCGCUCCCUUGGACCGCCUUUGGACCCCACGCGACACGCGUUGUAUGUCCGGCUCGUCCCUUUGCUCUCACUUUUUUGUAUGCCCGAUGAGCGGCACACACGUGGGCAGCUGGCAAGAGAGAUAUAAAGAGAGGGAGAAAAGUCCUCAAAAGACACAAAGGACGUCCGCAUGCAUUAAAGGGUAAUGAUGCCUCCGUGACGGUGGUGAUGGUAGUGGCGGUGGUUUGGGUUGUGGUAGCCGAUUCCCUGCUUGACGUUUGAAAAUUCGUCCUGCCACGCGACGCCGCGCCGCCACUGCCGACGCUCUCGUGGAACGAGGUAUAAUGUUUUACCCAUGGCAGCGUUUAGGAACAACGCCGGACGGACUUGCAUGCUAAUUUCGCGCAGACGGUAUAAGCCGGAGAGACUUUUCCUUCCCUUCCGGUGCCGUGAACGUGUCGAGGCAAAAGUACGCUUUAUCUAUUAUUCCGUGGAUAAAUUUGAGGGACGAGGACGCGUACCCGCUUUUCCGUACUUCUCACGAAGAGGGAGGGGGGGGGAGGGAGGUUUCAAGUUUCUUAAGACUUUUAAAUUGGAUAUUCAGUAUUCCGUGCCGACGACCACCGACGAGUCGUAAUAGCGUUAAUCCGGUAUAUACUGUAAACGAUUGUCAACUUAAUUUACGUUUAAUUAAAUCGUCGCCGCUUUUAGCAAGGUUUCAUUUUAGGAAUAUAAAUUUGGAUUAAAUUAAAGUCGGAUUGAGAGAAACGUGCGAACCAUCGGACGAUGUGAACUUUACAAAUUUUUAAGUGUAUGUGUUUAAAUAUAUAAUUUUAAAAUUAAUAGAGAAAUGAAAUAUAGGCAAAGAGCAGUGCUGGUUAUUCGUGCUAUCUAAGAUUUAAGAUUUUGUAUAUAGUUUAAAUAAAUACAUACGGCCAAGUUAAAUUUAUAUAUAUAUAUAAAUUAAUAGGAUGUGUGACUGUAAAACUCAGAUUCAAUUAAAUUGCGAAAGUUUCUGGUUAAAGAUCUCAGUGAAAUAUUAAUGGAAAAGAGAACGAUUUAUUCAGCAACAAAAAAAAAAUAAA